rnacentral:lncRNA from 1 species
GAUUCUGUCCUCAACAACUGGUUACGUUAAAUUCAUUGCUGUGAUUAUUUGAUUAUAAGAUGCAGCAAAGAAAACAUGUCAUUGAUCUCUACAACUUAUCAGCUGUGGCACCAAUUGAUCAGUCGUGGUACAAGCCAUGGCGUAAUUGUCUAGGAUUAGCCUGCACCAAUCCUCAAAUCAACCAUGUGCUAGAAUCUUAGAGGCAGUUGAAGCUUGCUGUAUGACACUCUGCAAUCAUGAUAAUUGCUAUAGGACACUGAAGUGGAUUACAUUUUCUGCACGAGCAUGUUUCUUUUUUUAAAAAAAUAACUGUGUCCUAGCAUGUGUUUGAUGUAAAUGCAAACACUUUCUAAAAUAAAGCAAUUAUUUUCUGUUACAUACUUUGAAGUGUUAGAUGUGGAAAGUGCUCCAUCUUCCUAAAGCGUUGCUAUCUCAUUUACCAAGCCUUUCAAUUAUCUUUGCUCAUUGGUUACUAAGACUAAAGAUGGGUACAAAGUCAAUGAAGCAUGCACAUGUAUAAACACCAAAUAUAAGUUGUACCAUAAUAACUAGCACAUAAUUUGUUGCUUGUGAGGCAAUUACGUGCUGUCCAGUCAACAUUUGUUGGUACAUGGAUCUUUAAGAAAUUGUCUUUAAGUUUAUCAGCUAGGAAAUUCAGUUUACUUUUUCUACACUUGGAAAUAAUAACUAGUAAAUGACUCCAAUUUCAAGCACCUUGACAAUCUUGAUUCUUAUUUCAGAGAACCAGAAAUGAGAUCUGCUGCAUCAGACUUAUUACAUGUAUUGGAAAUUAGACUUAUUGCAGGUAUUGGAAAUUAGAUUUUCUGAAAUUAGACUCAGUAGCUAUAAUUGCACAUUGUUAUACUUUGAAAAGAGUAACACCUUUAAACAUUUUUGAAGCACCCAUUGGUCACAGGAGGUAUGGAGGAUUUUUGUCAGAUUACUCAUGCUGCGCCCAAGGUGAUAGUCCUAAACCAAAUUGAGUAAUAUGGGAUACAUAUGAAAUUCAUGUACUGCUCUAGCUGAAAUGAUUCCAUAGAAUGAUAGUGUUUGCUAAUGCUCAGUGUAUUUACAUCUUUCCUUUUGUCUUUUUCAGGACAAGCCUCAGCCGCCACCUGAGGGCCGCCUUCGUGAUGCUACUAAGGGUAGGUCUCUAAUCUUUAAUACUAUUGCCAUGAAUGUUGAACUGUGGAUUGCAGGUUCGCUGAUGCGUAAAAUGCACGGGCAUGGAUGCCGGGUACAUGACGAGCUCGCCAAGGACCAGGAUUUGCUCCGCGCGGUCGUGGGGCAGUGAGCAACGCCUUUGGGGCGAUGGAUGAGCAGGUUCUCCCGCGUGGACAGGUAACCCGCCCUUGCAUGGUGUGCCAGUUCACUCAUCCACAUCACUAGCUGUGACCAAUUGUGCAAGUGCCGUUCACGUGCUAAAUAUGCAUAAACAAGCAUAUAUAAAAAUUAAAUGAUCGCACUACCAACAUCAUCACUUCCUUCGGACCCUCAAAGGAACACGGCAAAAGAAACUAGUCUCGUUGAAUACUGUACCACUACCAUAAUCUGCGAAGCUCCCCGAGUGACGGAAACACUCGGGGCUAUAAAAAAAAUGCUCGGGAAACAAAUAAUAGGAUGCUGAAAUAAACAAUAAUUUAUUUCUUCAAAUGAUAAAUAAAUUACAAGUUGUAGAGUAGCUCAGAAAAUUAAAUGAUCAACUCAAAUGCAUGGAAGCAUACAUAUAUAUAGCUUUAUUACUGAAUAAGGAAUCUUAAUUAUUGAAUAGAAUUACCAUGAAUAUAAUGAAUAAUAUAAAUAGUGUACAUGAAGAGAUAGGACUGAUUUGGAUAGGCACCGAUGCAGGUAAUGCAAAACGUCCUAUGGGUUUUCUCCGUCUGGAGAUUGAGGAGCCCACUUGAGCCUGGGCCUGGAGAUAAUAGCAGCGGCGGCAUAUUCGGAGUGGUCCGCCACGAUGGAGCUGGGGACCCGAUCCAUGAUGCGCUUGAGGCCACCAUCCCAGCACUUGACGAAGUUGAUGUCGACGUCGCGGAGCCAGUUCCAGACGAGGAGAAAGUCCGGGUCCUUGGCUUUUAGCUUGUCGUCGGCGAUGGCGCUUAUGCGGCCGAGCGCCGGCAGCGCCUGAUCCCUGGCCCCGGCGACGGUCUCGUCAAGCAUCCUGAUGCACCCUUCCAGUUUGCCAGCCUCGCCGAACGAGCGCAGGUCCUUGGCGAGGUCCGCGAGCUUGGACACCAUGACGGUGACGAUGGCGAGGGAGGCCCUGUUGUAGCUGCUGUUGAUGGACGCGGCGUACGGGAGCAGGAGCUCGUAGCACGCCCUGGCGGCAUCCGGCCUCCUGAUGCAGGUCUCGUUGCAGCCGGCGCGGAUGAAAUCCUUCGCCUCGGCGGAGGCGGGCAGGUUCUCCACCAGCAGUGGCUUGUUUGCGCCUGCGGCCGCGCACCUCGAUGCCGCGGCGGCGAAGGCUGUUAAUACCACCGCCGCAAGCACACGCAUCUUUGGCGGGAGAGCAGACAUGUUUGUUAACUAAUUUAAUUUGACGCUUCUCUCUAGCUUGUGUCUCGGCCUAUAUAUACACUGCUGAUACACACACAACUGAUGCAUGCAUGCAUGCUGUCCCUAUUUUAGGCUCAGCCCCACCACUACCGGCCACUAUUUUAGGCUCAUGCGCCUGUGCGGGCUCUUGACAAGUGUGUGGCCGUGGAACCGGGCCCGUGUUCUCGGACAGGGACGGACGGAGGAGAGGGAGCCGAACGGCGUUGCGCGGCCGAAGAGGCAGGGAUGGGCAGGGAGGGUGGCCGCGGCCACCGGAGAGCGGGAGAGGUAGGGACGGGCGGAGGAGGAGGCUCGGGCGAGAGGCAGGGGUGGCCGGAGUGCUGGAUGGGUGGGGAGGAAGCUGCGGACUGGGACGAUUCGCUCGUAAACGGAGUGGAUUCCGGGACGCAUGUGUUAAUGGCCUAAAUCACAAUAAAUCAAUGACUAGAUCCACCUGUCAAUGAGAUUAGGUUGGACAAAAAAAAAGUGGGUAGAAGUGUUUCUCACUUUAAUAAUAAGUAAGAUUGUAAUAUAUAUAAUCCUAAAAUGUAUGGAAGUGAUUCCGUAUACGAAUCUAAUGAUAUGAAAUUGGUUUGGUAUCAUGAUAACUUCUAAAUUCUUAGAUCAAGUAUGGGCCAAAGAUUAAUAUAUUUAAAUUAAUCUUGGGUUGCGCGCUCCUUACAAUUUCUUAUAACAUGGAGAGGACACAGCAUAAAGAAUUGACCGACGAAGGUAGGUUGUCCAAGGAUAAAGACGACGACGCAAUAGGUUGUCCAAGAAUUGACCGACGAAGCUAGGUUGCGUGCCCUUUACAAGCUUCAAAAGUCGGUAAAACAUUGGAUAACGUUCGUGUUUUCUAAUCUUUACCAUUCUAACUUUUUAAAGGACCGCUGUGGAGGUAUGCCUGCAACAGCUAAAUGAUCAUGGAUACUUUUUGCCACACUACUUAUAUUUAAAAUAAAUGCGCUUGAGGAGGGAAGCAGUAGUGUGAUUAUGAUUGCUGAAAGGCUAUGUCAUCUGAAUCAACAUGACAUGGUAUGGAUCUAAUCAUCCUUUUAUCUUUAAUUAGGUUACAUCUUUUAAAUUUCAUAAUGUUAUUCUCUUCUUUUAGGAUAUCUAUAAUCAAACCUUUGCGGCAAUAAGCUUUCAAGCGAUUCUGGAACAAGUCGUGGAAAGGUUGGGAUAUAGUUACAGCGUUGGAUACCCGACACGCACUAGAUAUUUCACACUCUAGGCUAAGCCCUCUUUGUACAAGGCAUCUCAAACGACGGACACACUAUUGUUUGAGAUUUAUGGUUGUCCAAAUUAGUGUCAUUUUGAAGCACUAGAGAGUGCACUAGUUCAUGCUCUAAUUUAUAUUGACGACGUUAUAGACUUUAAAUUGUAGAUAUGAAUUAUGCUCCAUAUCUAAGUAAGCUAUCCAGACUAAGCCCAUGGUAUGCAUGGACGUAACAUUUGCCGUAUGUAUUUGAACUUCUCUCUAAAACAAGUAAUGUUGUAUGAACUCAAGUACUUACUUUUCUUAUGUAUUUGAAUUAUUAAUAGAAGUGGUUCUCUCUAAGAUCUCAAAUGUAAUAUUAUAGAUAUAUAUUAGUGUACCAAUGUAGAACAAAGAAACAGAAAUAGGUAAAGGAAACAAAUAUGAAUAUAGAAUAAGGGAAUAGAAAUAAGGAAAAAGAAAAAAAAUUAGUACCGGUUAGGCAUACCAACCGUUAUUUGAACCGGUACUAAAGGGUCCCCCUCUAGUACCGAUUGGCCAGUACCGGUUGCACAACCGGGGGGGGGGGGUUAUGAACCGGUACUGGACGCUAUUUUUCCAGUAGUGUAAAGUGGUGGAAUGCACGUGAAAAAUAUGCGUGAACAAGUUGUAGUGUACAUAUAUAGCUAUAUAAAAAUUGUGCGAGUGCUGUUCACAUGCUAAAUGUGCAUAAACAAGCUGUAGUGUACAUAUAUAGCUAUAUAAAAAUUCAGUGAUCAAAUCAAAGCGUGUGCUGACCUUCCGCGGUUGAAAAUAUUUUUCCCAGCAAAACUCUUUCACCAACCGGUACUAAAUGUAGCCUUUAGUACCAACCCAGUACAAAUGCUUAACAAAAUAAGAAUACCAGUACGAGACACCCAUCGUGUGCAAUCAACAUGUAAACUCACAGCCCUACUCUAGGUUCCUACUGCUGAUCACACUACCAACAUCAUCACUUUCUUUAGCACCUCAAAGGAACAUGGCCAAACGACCUAGCCUAAUUGAAUUCUGUACCACUACCAUAAUCCGCGAAACUCCCGAGCGCCGGAAACACUCGGGACUGUAAAAAAUGCUCGAGAAACAAAUAAUAGGAUACUGAAAUAAACAAUAACUUAUUUCUUCAAAUGAUAAAUAAAUUACAAGUUGCAGAGUACAAAUAUAGCUCAGAAAAUUAAAUGAUCAACGCAAAUGCAUAGAUGCAUACAUAUAGCUUUAUUACUGAAUAAGGAACCUUAAUUAUUGAAUAGAAUUACCAUGAAUAUAAUAAAUAAUAUAAAUAGUGUACGUGAAGCUAGAGAGAUGACUGAUUUGGAUAGGCACCGACGCAGGUAAUGCAAAACGUCCUAGGGGUUUUUUCCAUCUGGAGAUCGAGGAGUCCAGUUGGGCCUGGGCCUAAAGAAAAUAGCAGCGGUGGCAUAUUCAUGUCUAAUAUUGGAUCUCCUUGUUUGUCGUAUGUAUUAAGGAUUAGUUUUACUUCUAAUAGCUUACUGCAGAUGCUUUCUUGUUUGUGUAAUAUGCUGCGUAAUCAUGUUGAGCCUGAGGCUUGUAAGAAUUCCUCUUAUUUGAUUAUUGCAUGGAUUAGUGUCAUGAAGGAUAUGAACCCUGUGUACAAUCAAGAUAAUUCACUUUUUUUUCCUCAAAUAUAUGCUUACAAGCCCAUUAGGUGGUGUAAACGUUAGAAUGCAUUAGCCUGGUAAAGAUAAGUUACGCAUUUUUAAUAAAUUUUUGGAUUGGUUGAUAUCAUCCUUAACACCUGCAUUUAAACAAUUUGUCUCUUUUGAUCCUGACUAUUACUAAUUAGAGGAUCGUGUCGUUUCGCUGUUGCUAAUUACUAAUUAGUGAUACUGCGAAAAGCGUGUUGCUCUGAUGCUUAUGGCCCAUUUCGUUCAAUGAAUUAUUAUCUCAUCCAACAACUGGUUACAUUAAAUUCAUUGCUGUGAUUAUUUGAUUAUAAGAUGCAGCAAAGAAAACAUGUCAUUGAUCUCUACAACUUAUCAGCUGUGGUACUGCCCAUUCACCAAUUGAUCUGUCGUGGUACAAGCCAUGGUGUAAUUGUCUAGGAUUAAUGUCUUUCAUCUCUGCAAGAUCUAAUAGGAUGCAGCUAUCAAAGUAAAUUUAAGCUGACACAUAUCAAUAUGAGUUGAAUAUAUCAUCAGUACAUUUAGUUUCUAAUGGACAUCAUGUACACAAUCUCGUGCUGCAAGGUGUGCUAAUAACUAAUUGUACUAGAAGCUACAUGCAGUAAUACUUUUACCACGUAUUACAAGCUGCAAGGUGUGAUUCUUGUAUUUUGAACUAUUUUUGUGUACUGAAUAAGGACUUCUGAUUUUGUUACUUCCAUGAGAAUCUGAAAUUUUAAGGGUGGGAUGCAAGAAGCAAAUAACUGCUUCUUUUUCUAUCGCAAAAGCUACUGAACAACUUCCAAUUGGCUAUACAAAUUUUCAUGAAACAAAAUUCUCAAAUAUAUGAUUUUGGUUGCUCGUAGUACCGCACAGGCACG